UUGCAAUCAGAAAUCACAGAGGAACCUAAUUUGCAUGGACAGACACUCCCCUUCUCAGAGUAUGUAGAGGGCAAGAAGGAGACUUGGGGAAACCUCUGUUCAGCAUCAGGAACAGAAGGUAGAGCUCAGGAUGACCUUCAUGAUGGCCUGGUCCUGUCUCCUCUUCACAUUCCUUGUUCACUGCACAGAGUCCUGGGCCCAGUCUGUGCUGACUCAGCAGCCCUCACUGUCUGGGACUCCAGGAGAGAUGGUCACCAUCUCCUGCACUGGAAGCAGCAACAAUAUUGGGGGUGGCUCUGAUGCACACUGUUAUCAGCAGUUCCCAGAAACAGCCCCUAAACUCCUUAUCUAUGGUAAUAGUAUUCGACCCUCAGGGGUCCCUGAUCGCUCCUCUGGCUCCAAGUCUGGCAACUCUGCUUUGCUUACCAUCAUUGGGAUUCAGCCUGAGGAUGAGGCUGACUAUUUCUCUCAGUCUUAUGAUUACAGCCUUGGUGCUUGCACAGUGCUCCAGGCUCAUGGGGAACUUGAGAUGCUGAACAUUCAGGAUGUUGUGGUCUCCUUUACCUGA